CGAAUAUCCUAUUAGCACAGCAAGCACAGAGGGUGUCCGGGGCUGGGCUGUCCUAAAAGCAUCUGCAGAUCAAUCUGAAAGCUGUUCUACUCUCUGGUCAUUUCUUGACCACAUUCUGAUUUUCAGAAGUAUGAACAAGGGUAAAUGAACUGGUCAGAAAGCUCAGGAAAGAAGACAGGUGCAAAUCAGAACCAAUUUCCCUCACAAUGUAGGAGCUAACCUGAGAAGGGAAAAUAUCGGGGAGGAGUCUCAACACAGCGCCCUGCUUGUAAACAUCAGGAGCAGUAAAUUGAGGACAAGCCUUAAAGUGCCAAGGUACAUGAAAUGGACACAAAAACAGGGACACAAAGACUUCUGACUUUGGACUGCUUUGACCAGGCCUGGCAAACAAGUUUCAUUGGGAAUGUCAUCUCUAAUCAGCUAGGACUCCCUGCCUGGAAUACUACAUGGAAACUGUGUGGUCAUAUGGCCAUUCCAACCAUGAGCAAGAGAGAGAGAUGGGGUGAGAGGGCAGGUGGCAGCACCAGCUUUCCCUAAGCAAAGUGCAAGCCCACUAUCUGUCAGUCAAAGUUGGGGAAAACACUAGCUCACAAUUCGUUCAAUUAUUCAAUACAACCCUAUGGAGCCCGUAAGCCCAAUUCAUACGUGUGCCCUGUCCAGAAAGGGAGGCAGCAGUCCCGCGUCCACCACCUGCAGGGUGCUCAACCCCCUGCUCAGUCAGAGGCCACACUUGGUCCUGGAAGGCAGCUGAGGAUGCUGAAGAGGUCCAAAGAGCACAUUACAUGAAGAGGACAUUCUGCAAGACAACUGACUAGGCUUUUCAAAAAAGGUCAUCAUUGGCUGAGUGUGGUGGAGCAUGCCUGUAGCACUCAGGAAGAAAAGGAGGAAGGAUCACUUGAGCCUAGGAGUUAGAGGCUGCCGUGAGCUACGACUGCACCAUUGUACUCCAGCCUCAGUGACAGAGUGAGACUCUGUCUCUUUAAAAAAAAAAAAAAAAUCACAUUAUUAAAACAAGCCAGAGAGGACUGUUCUGGACGGCAAGGGCCUAAAGAGGCAAAGCCAAGUGCAGUGUGACUAUUGAUUGAAUCCUAGUACAAAAAGCUCAGCUAUAACAUAUAGUUUUACGUCAAAUGAAUAAAUUUUAAAAUGAACUGUAUGUGAAAUGAUACUACUGAAUUAAUGGUAAUUUUUUCUUUUCCUUUUUUUUUUUUUUUUUUUUCUGAGACAGGGUCUUGCUCUGUUGCCCAGGCUGGAUUGCAGUGGUGCGAUCAGAGCUCAGUGCAGCCUUGGAACUCCUGGGCUCAAACAAUCCUCCUGCUUCAGCCUCCCAAAUAGCUGGGAUCACAGGUGCACACCACUAUGCCUGGCAUGCAUGCAUGCUUUAUUUAUUUAUUUAUUUGGAGACAGAGUCUUACUUUGUCGCCCAGGCUGGAGUGCAGUGGUGCGAUCUCGGCUCACUGCAACCUCCGCCUCGUGGGUUCAAGUAAUUCUCCCACCUCAGCCUCCCGAAUAGCUGGGAUUACAGGCAUGUACCACCAAGCCCAGCUAAUUUUUGUAUUUUUAGUAGAGAUGGAUGGGGUUUUGCCAUGUUGGUCAGGCUGGUCUGGAACUCCUGACAUCAAGUGAUCACCCACCUCGGCCUCCCAAAGUGCUGGGAUUACAGGUGUGAGCCACUGCACCCGGCCUCUUCUGCCUCAUCUAAGAGGGCUAUGUUAAAAAAAUGUUGAAAGCUAGCUUACCUCAUACUCUGAAUUAUGUGAAAAUAAAUAUAUGUGUAUAUGCAGAGAAAUAAGACUACAAGAAACAUCUCAAAUCAUUAACGGUGGUUUUCACUAAGUAGCAGAUCACGAAUCUUUG
rnacentral:lncRNA from 1 species